AAGUUGGAAAUUGAUUGACU
rnacentral:miRNA from 1 species